UGCUGGCCUGCAGGUGCCCAUUGGUACAAGCAGCCUGGGUGCCUUGGUCAGCACAGCAGGCAGAUGGGCUCCUGGGUGGAGGGGGGCAGGUCCCUGGUGAGGCUCCACUUUCAGGCCAAGGAAGGUCUGAAGGCUGGGGACUGGGCUGCCAAUCCUAUGGACCAGAGUGGAGACUUGUGUCUUUUCUGGCCCGCCUGUGUCUGCCCACGGACCAAUUGGUGCUCACUUCCUUCCCUCUGAGGCCCAUAAAAGCCGUGGGCUCAGCCGGAGCAGAGCAGAGCUGAGGACACAGGGAUGACUGGACUACCAGCUGGAGAGAGGAGCUACCCUCUCUGCUAGGGGCCGAACACUCCUCCGGACACCCUGGCUACAGUGCAGGACAAGAACUUAGGACUGCAGGACAAGAACUCGAGACCCACACAAUGCACCACCAGGCUCGACCCAGCACAGCUCAUCCACCCACCCCAAUGACAGAAUGCAGCCAGAACUGUGGUCAAUAUGGAGUGGCACCUUUGAGAGAGGGCCUCUGAGCAAGUUCCUGUGCCUGUUUCUUUCAACGAGGAUAACUACUUCCACCUGCCUUUGUAAUUUGUUCCUGGGACAAAGAAAGCCUCUUGAGGAGGCUGGCCUGCCCUGCAUAUGUUGGAUAAACGCUUGAAAUAUGGACCUGUCCCCAUCUCUCGCCUUUCCCCGGAAUUCAGGACUGAAUGGAUGCUGCCUGCAUUUUGGGGAGUGGGAGUUUUGCUUUUCCUUUGCUUUGCUACUUACUCACUCUGAUGAACAAGGAGGAGACUGACAGCUUCACAGUCCUGGAUCAUUUCCUGCCCUGUUCUCCCAUCCAGCUCAUGGAAGUCAGCAACUCCAUCCACUCAUUGCACAGAGACCAGAAAGGGGAAGGGAUUUUCUCACUGUCUCACAGCAACUAAUGGCCAAGCUGUGGUGGGCGUCUUGGUGGUCUGAUUCCAAUUCAAGUUGGAGUGAGAGAGUGAGAAGAUUAUGGGCUGUGGCCUCAAGCCAACCAGGGUCUAAACCCAGCAUUGCCUCUGGCUUACUUGUGUCUCCUCUGCUUCCUCAUUCUUAGAAUGGAAAUCAUCAUCAUCAUCUCAUAGAAGUGUUAUGGGCAACAGACAGGAUAAUGUACAUGAAGCUCAUACAGCCUUAGGAUUAAAACCAGUGAAGACCCAAACGACUGUACCUGGGAAUUUAAGAUAAACAGGGUGUGUUACUGCCUGGCACAAACUGGGAAUUUGUGCAAAGGUAAGAUACCAAGCAGGACAGUAUUUCUCCUUGAGGGACCGUGAAAUCUUCUCAUCAUUUAAGCUUAUGAAACGAGGUGGAGCCUCAUUUCUUAAAGGGGGAAAUGCAAAUCAAAACUACCUGGGUAUCAUAUGAAAUUAUACCUUGAUAAAGCUGAUUUUUAAAACAUUACCCUGAGAAUUGUAAAGAUCAACAGUCCUGAUAACAAGCCAGGCAUCGUGGCUCAUGCCUGUAGUUCCAACUACUUGAGAGGCUGAGGUGGGAGGAUUGCUGGAGCCCAGGAGUUUGAGGCCAGCCUGGGCAGCAUAGCAAGACCCUCUUAAAAAAAUAAAAUCCUGGCCAGGCGCGGUGGCUCAUGCCUGUAAUCCCAGCACUUUGGGAGGCCGAGGUGGGCAGAUCACGAGGUCAGGAGAUCGAGACAAUCCUGGCUAAC
rnacentral:lncRNA from 1 species